GAGGCUGCAGCAGUGAGCAAGCCCUCGCCCAGGGGAGAGUUUUUGUUCCAAAACUUGAGUUGCCAAAUAUCCCAAGCCUCAGUUCAGCCUUGUUUACUUCUGCUCGUGCAGCAGCUGAGCUUCACUCAGCAUUCAUGCAGCUUGGGGGGUAGUGAGAUUCAGACAUUAGUUCUGCCUGCCUGGAAGAGCCCCUGGGGAUCGCUGUGUCCUUCCAUAAUUAGGGUUGCUUCCAGGUCCAGCUCAAUCGUUUCCCCACAGUGGAUGCUGAGGUUUUCAAAAGGGACAGCUUGGAUGUGGUGCUGGAAUAUAUCUGACAUGGUACCCAGGUCUGGCUUAUUGUGGGAGCCCCGGUAUCAUCUGUGGAUGCCAUGGUGACGAAGAUGUUUUUGGCAAAGUGAUGACUAUGAAGUGCCAUCAGGGAGAUCCAUCCUUUCACCAUGUUUCUUGUUGCUUUUGUAUCCACCAAUUUUGCUUGCAUUUUGCCAAGAGAAGUCUUAUUCAUUCUCUGACAUACACAGCUGGAUUUUUUCCUGUUAGUUCUCCAAAAGUAAUGCCAGUCCUUCACAUUUAGUAUCAAUGGCAAGUUCCAUUCAAACACUGAUUUAUUGGGAUAAUUAGCAGAGAUAAUAAAUCAGAUGAAGCAGACACAAUAAAUCAGAUGAAACGGAGAUAUCUGUGGUAACCCAUUACACAACUCCACUCCCAUAUCAAAAAUUGGCUCUUUAUCAUCCCAUCAGUGGCCAGUGCUUGACCCCACAAGCAAGAACUGAUGCCCAAGCCAAGAGGCACUGAGAAGAAUGGAUAACCUGCCCUUGUCAGGCUCCUUUGGGCAUGAUUACUCCAUGCUGUACAUGGAGUAAUCUCUUCUCAUUCCACAAUCUAGGAGCCCCUCGUUUUGACAGAGAGAAGCCAAAAGCUGAGCAGCCAGACCCCAGUGCUGGUGGGAACUGCACUGAAAGAAGCCCUGAUACCCAUCACUGUGGUGUGUGAGCAGACCUGGCUGUGCUCCUUCCCAGAGUCAUUUGGGACCACAGAUGGUGCCAAAUGUGGACACGUGCUGUGCUCCCUCAGCACUGUGCCAGCUGGAUUGUGGAGAACAUGACCACAGAGAGAAUGUGCAAAUGGGAAUGUCCUUGGAAAGGACGUUGCUGUCCACCUGGACACUGAGAUGUCAUUUCCCGUGGCAGGAGCUGAAGCUGCCUGAGCUUUUUCUAGAAGAUCCUCAAUAUAUCAAAUAGCUGUGGCUACAUAUCCUUCUGUGUUUGUAUCUGCAACAUCCACCACGUGCAGUUGGGUCGUGUCCAUCCCACUGGCCAAAGGAUGAGUCUGCAACUACAGCAGCAUCUUUUGCUCAUGGAACUACAGAAGGGAGCAGCUGUGCUGGACAUUUCUUGGCUUUUUCUCAGUGGAGAAGAGACCAAAUCUCAAUUUUAGUGUUUCCGUUGUCUGAGGCAUCUUUCUGAGGUCUGGUGACAGUCAAAAGUUUUCUCCUCUGUUUAUUUUGCCCUGCCAGUAUGAGGUUUUUCACACAAGCCAAAUCUGAGGCUGUUAAUGCAGAGCAAGGAGCCCAUGUUGGUCUGCAGGUCCUUCCAUCCCUGAGGGUUUCAGCAUAAAUGUCUUACAUGUAAAUGGUCGUAAUUCAGUUAAAUUCCAUUACAGGGGAACAAUCUGCUUUUCUGCAUGAAUGGCUUUAUUUCCUAUAAGUUUUGAAGGAAAAAUAGAACAUUUUAAGUAAGUGCUUUGGCGAAAAGCAUCUGCCUGUUAGGAAGAAGGAGAAGUUGCUUCCAUUUCACAAGAAAUAAUCGCACCCUCAACGUGCCCUUCCUGUUUCCAUCUCGUGGGCCUCUUCUUCUGGAAGAUGCCAGUGGUGUUGUCAAACCAUGAAAAUGCUGAGGAGAAAGUUCUGAAGGCUGGAAAGGAAAGUUGUGCUGGUUUCUCUGAAUGUGUUGGUAGCUGGGUCUGUGAGAGCUGGCGAGCAGCUGGGGAGGCUCCAAGCCAUGGUAGCAAUGGCUUUACUGGCAGCUGGAGACAAAGUGUUGGAGAGCACUGAUGAGGAGGAUGAAGAAGAGAAGGAGAGCAAGGUGGUGUAUAUGCUCCCAUAAUUAACCAAUUAAUAAUGACCAUCAUGUUACAUUGUCACUGCCUAAUGAAAGUAUGACAGUGUAAUAUGUAACGGGGCAUCAGCAUUGCUGGCUGGACCCUGAGACAGUUUCAUUUCACACAUCCCAAUGAGAACUGUCCAUCAUGCUGUCAAAAACCUACUCUGGAUAUUUUCCAAGGAGGGAAAUUUAGAAGUUUGGAAAAAUUUAAGGCUGAAGUGCUGUUACAGAGCUGCAGCUGGGCAAAAUGGGCAUCCAUGGCAGCCUGCAAAUAAAGCAGAUGUUCUGUGGGGAAAUACUGUUUAAAACUCUUUAAUUUCACCACAUUUUCACCUUUAUUGUCCAGCACUCAUCAUGAUUACCAUGUCAACAUAAGACAUCCUGUUACAAUUAACUAGCUGAUCAUCUGCAGAAACCCUGUACAGUUGCUAAUCAAAUACAUAAAAUAGCCUGUGACCUGAGCACACAUAAUUCCACCCGUUUAGGUAUAAGCUGCCAAACAAAGAAGGUUUGCAAGUCAACAGUCUCCGUCACUGUCAGGCCCAGAAAUGGCUGAGUAUUCCAGCCUGUGCACCAUAUUGUGGCACCAAAAAAUUAUUGUUGCAAGAUAUUGUAAGAGGAAAAUACUCCCUAAUAAUAAAAAGGUACAACGACCAAA